ACAACAAUCAUAUACAUAUAUCAAGGCUGCUCAACGCCAGGCCCGAGCAAGCUAAAUCUGAUAUGUCUACCAAAUUGCGUUACGGUUUUUAAGAAGUUUUUGUUCAAUAUGUGUAUGUGUAAAGGUUUUCUCAGACGUUAAUUAUAUAAAAAAUAAAUACCGCACAUCAUUUGACCUAAUGUCAAAAUUAUUCAAACUUCAAAGAGCAAACCUGGAGCAAAGCAAUGACAGAAAUAACAACGACUUAGGAAUUGGAUUUGAGAAAAUACCUACACCCUGACACGGGAUUGGCGUCCAUGUAACUAGGGGACCAUCGAGUGUGAAACUUUUAUUUCAGUGACAACUGUAGUGUAGAGCCGAAGACCAUAUAUAUAAGAUAAUAAUAUUAUGAUCUGUCACUACCCACUCUUUUCACUGUGCUGCAGAGUACAUGCAAAAUCGUUGGUUAUGGUUGUUAUUACAAGAAACUAAUAGCAGUUGUUACUCAUAGUGCUCAGCUUACCCACUGACCCACAGUGAAGCAGCCGGGUGGCUCGAGAUAGUUAAUACACUCUGCUAUAUGGAGUCUGUUAUCUUUAUCCCCAAGUGGACGAAUUUACAGGCCGAUUUGGUCCAGUUAAUACUGAAUAAUAUUGAGAUUAUUAAAUUAAUUUGUUACAUUA